rnacentral:rRNA from 1 species
CACCAAACCUGUACCGGUACGGGCUCUGAGAGGAGGAGCCCGGAGAUGGGCACUGAGACAAGGGCCCAGGCCCUAUGGGGCGCAGCAGGCGCGAAACCUCUGCAAUAGGCGAAAGCCUGACAGGGUUACUCUGAGUGACUUUCGCUAAGAAAGUCUUUUGGCACCUUUAAAAAGGGUGCAGAAUAAGGGGUGGGCAAGUCUGGUGUCAGCCGCCGCGGUAAUACCAGCACCCCGAGUGGUCGGGACGAUUAUUGGGCCUAAAGCAUCCGUAGCCGGUUCUGCAAGUCCCCCGUUAAAUCCAGCUGCUCAACAGAUGGGCCGCGGAGGAUACUACAGAGCUAGGAGGCAGGAGAGGCAAGCGGUACUCAGUGGGUAGGGGUAAAAUCCGUUGAUCCAUUGAAGACCACCAGUGGCGAAGGCGGCUUU